rnacentral:rRNA from 1 species
GAUGAACGCUGGCGGCGUGCCUAAUACAUGCAAGUCGAGCGACCGGACGAGAAGAUCUUGCUCUUGAGGUUAGCGGCGGACGGGCGAGUAAGACGUAGAUAACCUUCUUAUUAUACGUGGAUAAUUUCGGGAGACAGGAGAUACUACUAGAGAAUACUUUGAACCGCUUGGUGCAAAAGAGAAUGAGGCCUUUCCUGUUUGUUUUAGAUGGUUCCGGGUUGCAUUAGCUAGUUGGUAAGGUAACGGCUUACCAAGGCAACGAUGCAUAGCCGACCUGAGAGGGUGAUCAGCCACACUGGAACUGAGACACGGUCCAGACUCCUACGGGAGGCAGCAGUAGGGAAUCUUCCGCAAUGGGCGAAAGCCUGACGCAGCCACGCCGCGUGAGUGAUGAAGGUCUUCGGAUCGUAAAACUCUGUUAUUAGGGAAGAACAGAUGUGUAAGUAUCUGUGCACAUCUUGACGGUACCUAAUCAGAAAGCCACGGCUAACUUCGUG